rnacentral:rRNA from 1 species
GGCGGCGUGCCUAACACAUGCAAGUCGAGCGAGAAAGCUCCUUCGGGAGUGAGUAAAGCGGCAAACGGGUGAGUAUCGCGUGAGAAUUUACCCUUUGGUGAAGAAUACCCUCGAGAAAUCGGGGUUAAUGCUGCAUAAGUCCCUUCGGGGAGAAAGAUGGCCUCUUUGCUAUCGUCAAAGGAUAAGCUUGCGUACUAUUAGCUAGUUGGUGAGGUAAUGGCUCACCAAGGCAAUGAUGGUUAGCCGGCCUGAGAGGGUGUACGGCCACACUGGAACUGAGACACGGUCCAGACUCCUACGGGAGGCAGCAGUGAGGAAUCUUGCGCAAUGGGCGAAAGCCUGACGCAGCGACGCCGCGUGGAGGAUGAAGGUCUUCGGAUUGUAAACUUCUGUUAAGUGGGAAGAAAUGUUUUGUUAUAAUACAGCAAAAAAAUGACGGUACCAUUAGAGAAAGCACCGGCUAACUUCGUGCCAGCAGCCGCGGUAAUACGAAGGGUGCGAGCGUUAUUCGGAUUGAUUGGGCGUAAAGGGUGCGCAGGCGGAAUGUUAAGUCAACUGUUAAAUUUCCCGGCCUAACCGGGAAUCAGCGAUAGAUACCGGCGUUCUUGAGGAUGGAAGAGAGAAAGUGGAAUUCUCGGAGUAGCGGUAAAAUGCGUAGAUCUCGAGAGGAACACCGAUGGCGAAGGCAGCUUCUUGGUCCAUUUCUGACGCUCAUGCACGAAAGCGUGGGGAGCAAACAGGAUUAGAUACCCUGGUAGUCCACGCUGUAAACGAUGAUUACUGGACGUUAGUUCCGUUCUGCGGAACUAGUGUCGUAGCUAACGCGAUAAGUAAUCCGCCUGAGUAGUACGGUCGCAAGAUUAAAACUCAAAGGAAUUGACGGGGGUCCGCACAGGCGGUGGAACAUGUGGUUUAAUUCGACACUACGCGAGGAACCUUACCUAGGCUUGACAUGCAUUUGACUGCUAUGGAAACAUAGUUUUCUAUGCGAAAGCAUAGACAGAUGCACAGGUGCUGCAUGGCUGUCGUCAGCUCGUGUCGUGAGAUGUUGGGUUAAGUCCUUUAACGAGCGCAACUCCUGCCACUAGUUGCAACCCAGUGAUGGGGCACUCUAGUGGGACUGCCUGGGAAACCAGGAGGAAGGCGGGAAUGACGUCAAGUCCGCAUGGUCCUUAUGCCUAGGGCAACACACGUGUUACAAUGGCUAAUACAAAGGGUUGCGAAAUCGCAAGAUGAAGCUAAUCCCAUAAAGUUAGUCUAAGUUCAGAUUGAGGUCUGCAACUCGACCUCAUGAAGUUGAAAUCGCUAGUAAUCGCGUAUCAGAACGACGCGGUGAAUACGUUCUCGGACCUUGUACACACCGCCCGUCACACCAUGAGAGCUGUUUGUACCCGAAAUCAUCUUAGCUAACCUGUAAAGGAGGCGGGUGCUGAAGGUAUGGAUGGUGAUUGGGGUGAAGUCGUAACAAGGUA